rnacentral:lncRNA from 1 species
UUCAAAAGAAGGAACAGAAGGAAGAAGGACAACCGAGUCUUGACUUAGGACAACCUACCUACCCAAGUUAUGGAGGAAUCAAGUGACCGGUAUUUCAAAAGAUUUGAAAAAGAAGAACUAUACCGAGUUGGAGAGUCGAGUGAGUUUCCAUCGAGGUUCCGAUCCGUGGCUCUGUCAUUACAUCAAAAUGAAAAUUACAAGUUAAACAUAAAUGAAAAUUACAAAAAUUCUAUCUACGCAGCUUCUAUUGGACUCUUGACUUGAGUUUCAUCACCGUAUUCUUCAGGCGGGCUCCUGAUUUGAAAUUUCUUCAACUUGUUACUUGGUUUUCAAUUUCAACACCCUAUUCUCCAGGCAGACUCCUGACUUGCUAUUUUCGAUCUGUUGACUUUCAUUUUCUUCACUUUGUUACUUGACUUUCAACUUCUUCACCUUUUUGCUUGACUUUCAAUUUCUUCACCUAGCUGCUUGACUUUCUAUUUAUUAGCCCUGUGUUUCGGGCGGACUCCUAAAAUCACAUCAAAACUUGAAAGAAAAUUAUACCAAACAAAGAUUUUUAUAAAAAGAUUUCAUAUGCCAGGAAAGUGAAGUUCCAACAUAAGAAUUAAAUUUUGCCCCAGUUUAUCAUCAAAGGACUUUUGCGAAAGUCACAUAUUAUAGGAAUCAAGGAGAAUGACUCGACUAUAAGGUGCGUCUGAUAGGAAUCAAAGGAAUUGACUCGACUAAAAGGUACGUCUUCUAGGGGUCAAGGAGAAUUACUCGACUAAAAGGUACAUCUUAUAGGAAUCAAGGGAGAUGACUCGACUAAAAGGUACGUCUUACUAGGAAUCAAGGGAGAUGACUCGACUAAAAGGUACGUCUUAUAGGAAUCAAAGGGAAUAAAUCGACUAAAAGGUACGUCUUCUAGGGGCCAAAGGGAAUGAAUCGACUAAAAGGUAUGUCUUAUAGGAAUCAAAGGGAAUAACUCGACUAAAAGGUACGUCUUAUAGGAAUCAAAGUAGAUGACUCAACUAAAAUGUACGUCUUAUAGGAAUCAAAGGAAAUGACUCAACUAAAAGGUACGUUUUAUAGGAAUCAAAAGAGAUGAAUAGACUAAAAGGUACGUCUUCUAGGAAUCAAGGGGGACGACUCGACUAAAAGGUACGUCUUAUAGUAAUCAAAGGGGGAUGACUCGAUUAAAAGGUACGUCUUAUAGGAAUUAAGGGAAAUGAAUUGACUAAAAGGUACGUCUUUUAAGAGUCAAGAGGAAUGUCUUGACUAGAAGGUACGUUUCCUAGGAGUGAAGGUUCAAUUUAAGAAGUGUAUCACCUAGCAAAUGAAAACUGAAAUCCCUGGACAAGUGUGUCUCCGAGGGAUAUAGGAUGAUGAAUUUUUACCAUGAUUUUAUUAUCAAACCUGUGCAUCAAUAUUGCUUUCUGCAUUUUUAAAAGUGAGGCAUUGCAACCCUUGAUGUUUAUGCUCUGAAGUCCCUGCUUUGAAGGUAAUCUGUUUCCUGUUACAUCAAAGAAAACUUGUGAGUUUAAAACAUGGUGGCUGGUUUAUGGCUUUAGCUUUAGCGGAGAUCGCUCUUGCCCUUGUCAUAUUUAAACUUGCUUCCAAUCAUUAACAUAUAUCAUUGACUUGCUGAAUCAUUGACCCGAACUAAGAU